rnacentral:rRNA from 1 species
GUGGGGAAUAUUGGACAAUGGGCGAAAGCCUGAUCCAGCCAUGCCGCGAGUGUGAAGAAGGUCUUCGGAUUGUAAAGCACUUUAAGUUGGGAGGAAGGGCAGUAAGUUAAUACCUUGCUGUUUUGACGUUACCGACAGAAUAAGCACCGGCUAACUUCGUGCCAGCAGCCGCGGUAAUACGAAGGGUGCAAGCGUUACUCGGAAUUACUGGGCGUAAAGCGCGCGUAGGUGGUUUUGUAAGUUGGAGGUGAAAUCCCCGGGCUCAACCUGGGAACUGCCUCCAAAACUGCAUGACUAGAGUACGGUAGAGGGUAGUGGAAUUUCCUGUGUAGCGGUGAAAUGCGUAGAUAUAGGAAGGAACACCAGUGGCGAAGGCGACUACCUGGACUGAUACUGACACUGAGGUGCGAAAGCGUGGGGAGCAAACAGGAUUAGAUACCCGGGUAGUCC